AGAGUUUGAUCAUGGCUCAGGACGAACGCUGGCGGCGUGCUUAACACAUGCAAGUCGAACGGAAAGGCCCUUCGGGGUACUCGAGUGGCGAACGGGUGAGUAACACGUGGGUGAUCUGCCCUGCACUUUGGGAUAAGCCUGGGAAACUGGGUCUAAUACCGAAUAGGACCACGCGCUUCAUGGUGUGUGGUGGAAAGCUUUUGCGGUGUGGGAUGGGCCCGCGGCCUAUCAGCUUGUUGGUGGGGUAAUGGCCUACCAAGGCGACGACGGGUAGCCGGCCUGAGAGGGUGACCGGCCACACUGGGACUGAGAUACGGCCCAGACUCCUACGGGAGGCAGCAGUGGGGAAUAUUGCACAAUGGGCGCAAGCCUGAUGCAGCGACGCCGCGUGAGGGAUGACGGCCUUCGGGUUGUAAACCUCUUUCAAUAGGGACGAAGCGUGAGUGACGGUACCUAUAGAAGAAGCACCGGCCAACUACGUGCCAGCAGCCGCGGUAAUACGUAGGGUGCGAGCGUUGUCCGGAAUUACUGGGCGUAAAGAGCUCGUAGGUGGUUUGUCGCGUUGUUCGUGAAAACUCACAGCUUAACUGUGGGCGUGCGGGCGAUACGGGCAGACUAGAGUACUGCAGGGGAGACUGGAAUUCCUGGUGUAGCGGUGGAAUGCGCAGAUAUCAGGAGGAACACCGGUGGCGAAGGCGGGUCUCUGGGCAGUAACUAACGCUGAGGAGCGAAAGCGUGGGGAGCGAACAGGAUUAGAUACCCUGGUAGUCC
rnacentral:rRNA from 1 species